UUGAGAGAAUGCCAAGAGUGUGCAAAGGGUGGGUACUUUGAAGAAACUCAAACCUAAAAUAUAUUUUGAUUUAACUUUUUUUUAUUACUACAUGAUUCCAUAGUUUUGAUGUAUUCACUAUUAUUUGCGGCAGGGUAGCCUAGUGGUUAGAGUGUAGGGGCGGCAGGUAGCCUAGUGGUUAGAGUGUAGGGGCGGCAGGUAGCCUAGUGGUUAGAGUGUAGGGACGGCAGGUAGCCUAGUGGUUAGAGUGUAGGGACGGCAGGUAGCCUAGUGGUUAGAGUGUAGGGACGGCAGGUAGCCUAGAGGUUAGAGUGUAGGGACGGCAGGUAGCCUAGAGGUUAGAGUAUAGGGACGGCAGGUAGCCUAGAGGUUAGCGUGUAGGGACGGCAGGUAGCCUAGAGGUUAGAGUGUAGGGACGGCAGGUAGCCUAGAGGUUAGAGUGUAGGGACGGCAGGUAGCCUAGAGGUUAGCGUGUAGGGACGGCAGGUAGCCUAGAGGUUACAGUGUAGGGUCGGCAGGUAGCCUAGUGGUUAGAGUGUAGGGACGGCAGGUAGCCUAGUGGUUAGAGUGUAGGGUCGGCAGGUAGCCUAGUGGUUAGAGUGUAGGGUCGGCAGGUAGCCUAGUGGUUAGAGUGUAGGGUCGGCAGGUAGCCUAGUGGUUAGAGUGUAGGGGCGGCAGGUAGCCUAGUGGUUAGAGUGUAGGGUCGGCAGGUAGCCUAGUGGUUAGAGUGUAGGGACGGCAGGUAGCCUAGUGGUUAGAGUGUAGGGUCGGCAGGUAGCCUAGUGGUUAGAGUGUAGGGUCGGCAGGUAGCCUAGUGGUUAGAGUGUAGGG